UUAGAUGGUCGAAAAUACACUCCAGACGCAUUAUACAACCUGUCACCAGGUGUUCGACGGCUUUUGGAUCGCCGUAUCCUCCAAGAAUCUUCGAAUCCGCUGAAUUUGUUGAAAAGAAGAAUUGUCGAUUAUGUACAUCAAACAUACAGAAAACCAGGUAAAAAAAAUACGUGAAAAUUGAAGAAAAAUCAAUGAAAUUUCAGAAAACUCGAUAAAUUUCCAGAAAAAUCGAUAAAUUUCCAGAAAAAUCAAUAAAUUUCAGAAAAAUCAAUAAAUUUUGUAAAAAAUUUUUUUCUCAAAUGUUAUUGAUUUUUCUGGAAAUUUAUUGAUUUUUCUGGAAAUUUAUUGAUUUUUCUGGAAAUUUAUUGAUUUUUCUGGAAUUUUCACCUUUUUUCCAGGAAAUCGCUCGCCACUCUUCACAAUUUGUGAAUCCGAGCCUCGUGUCGUCACUACUUAUCAGAAUUUCGACUCUUUACUGACACCGGAGGAUCAUGUGUCAAGG
rnacentral:sRNA from 1 species